AGAGUUUGAUCCUGGCUCAGGAUGAACGCUAGCGACAGGCCUAACACAUGCAAGUCGAGGGGCAGCACAUGGUAGCAAUACCGAGGUGGCGACCGGCGCACGGGUGAGUAACACGUAUGCAACCUACCUAUAAGCGGGGGAUAACCCGGAGAAAUUCGGACUAAUACCGCAUAACACUGUGAGACAGCAUUUUUUCACAGUUAAAUAUUAAUAGCUUAUAGAUGGGCAUGCGUAUGAUUAGAUAGUUGGUAGGGUAACGGCCUACCAAGUCAACGAUCAUUAGGGGUUCUGAGAGGAAGGUCCCCCACACUGGUACUGAGACACGGACCAGACUCCUACGGGAGGCAGCAGUGAGGAAUAUUGGUCAAUGGGCGAGAGCCUGAACCAGCCAAGUCGCGUGAAGGAAGAAGGUUCUAUGGAUUGUAAACUUCUUUUAUAAGGGAAUAAAAAAGACUACGUGUAGUCUAUUGUAUGUACUUUAUGAAUAAGGAUCGGCUAACUCCGUGCCAGCAGCCGCGGUAAUACGGAGGAUCCAAGCGUUAUCCGGAUUUAUUGGGUUUAAAGGGUGCGUAGGCGGGCCCGUCAGUCAGUGGUGAAAGUUUGCAGCUCAACUGUAAAAUUGCCAUUGAAACUACGGGUCUUGAGUGCAAAUGAGGUAGGCGGAAUGUGUUGUGUAGCGGUGAAAUGCUUAGAUAUAACACAGAACACCAAUUGCGAAGGCAGCUUACUAGAAUGCAACUGACGCUGAGGCACGAAAGCGUGGGGAUCAAACAGGAUUAGAUACCCUGGUAGUCCACGCAGUAAACGAUGAAUACUAACUGUAUGCGAUAUACUGUAUGUGGUAAAGCGAAAGCGUUAAGUAUUCCACCUGGGG
rnacentral:rRNA from 1 species